GUGAUAGUCAUCCGUGGCCUUCUCGUUAGCAGGGCGCUUGCGGUUAGGGGGGGACCCUGAGGAAGGAAAAGAGGAGAAGCGGCGUGCCAUGCCGGGAGCCACUGAUAGGUUUCGGCUCUGCUUGGGCUGGGACCACGCCUACCUCAUUCCCCACUGGCGCGCCGGUGCCCACCCUGGUGAGCAGGGACAUAGUAGGGCCUCGGUAAAUGCUUGUGCAUGAAAUACAGUCAGGUGACAGUGCGGUGGGGUAUGCCGACGUCAGCGUCGGACUAGGUGACGGCAGGUGCUCUAUUUCAGGGAGAGUUUGAUUAGGCACAAGGCCUAGUGCUAAAUACUUUUAGAUAUGACUUUUUUUUUAACCCUCACGGCCUGGAUUCCAUACUGCCACCACUGUUCAGAGAACUGAGGUGGACUCCCUCAAGGUCACUCAGAAGGUGAAGAUAUUUGAUGGCCCAGUGAAUCAUCACAACAACCCCUAAUGGUAUCCCGGGACUGUGUCUGGCUGGAAGCAACCCCGCAUCGCUCGCCGCCAGACUGAUACCCACAUGUCAGCAUCCUCGUCCCUUC